rnacentral:sRNA from 1 species
CCCUAGCCCUGAUGGCAGUGGAAAUCCUUUUUUUUUAGGAUUGCCCCGAAGCAUCGCGUAGGGGAAAUCAUAAUUAAAAAAGAUUGUAACGUACAGCAGGAAAAAGC